AUUGAACGCUGGCGGCAGGCCUAACACAUGCAAGUCGAACGAGUGGCGGACGGGUGAGUAAUGUCUGGGAAACUGCCCGAUGGAUGGGGAUAACUACUGGAAACGGUAGCUAAUACCGCAUACCAUCAGAUGUGCCCAGAUGGGAUUAGCUAGUAGGUGGGGUAACGGCUCACCUAGGCGACGAUCCCUAGCUGGUCUGCGAGGAUGACCAGCAACACUGGAAACGAGAAAAGGUACAGACUCCGACGUGAGGCAGCAGUGGGGAAUAUGGCACAAUGGGCGCAAGCCUGAUGCAGCCAUGCCGCGUGUAUGAAGAAGGCCUUCGGGUUGUAAAGGACUUUCAGCGAGGAGGCGUUACUCGCAGAAGAAGCACCGGCUAACUCCGUGCCAGCAGCCGCGGUAAUUC
rnacentral:rRNA from 1 species